rnacentral:rRNA from 1 species
CCGGGAAACGGGGGCUAAUACCGGAGAGGUCGAAAGAUGAAAGGUUAACUGCCUGAAGAGGGGCUCGCGUCUGAUUAUCUUGUAGGUGUGGUAAGAGCGCACCUAGGCAACAAUUAGUAGGUGGUCUGAGAGGAUGACCACCCACACUGGGACUGAGACACGGCCCAGACUCCUCCGGGAGGCAGCAGUGGGGAAUUUUCCACAAUGGGCGAAAGCCUGACGGAGCAAGACCGCGUGGGGGAGGAAGGCCUUUGGGUUGUACACCCCUUUUGUUAGGGAAAAAAAAAAUGACGGUCCCUAACGAAUCCCCCUCGGAUAACUCCGUGCCAGCCCCCGGGGUUAUACGGAGGAGGCAAGUUUUAUCCGGAAUUAUUGGGCGUAAAGCGUCCGUAGGUGGCCCGGCAAGUCUGCUGUCAAAGACCACAGCUCAUCUGUG